rnacentral:lncRNA from 1 species
CUCCCAGCAGCUGAGAGUGAAAUGCAGAUCAGGCCCAUUGUGAUGUCACAGAAAGAUGGGGACAGGCCAAAGAAGAAAGUGACAUUUAACUCUUCCUCCAUCAUCUUCAUCAUCACCAGUGAUGAGUCCCUGUCAGUCGAGGACAGCGACAGAAGCAGCGCAUCUAAGGUCGAUGUAAUCCAAGUGCGUCCUUUAUGAGAACGGAAGACAGUCUUACCUCAGCUGCGACACAGUGGCCCUGUCAGGAGUGCCCCCCAGAGUUCCCAUUUGGUAUAACAGUGACAGAAUCUCUGUGGCCCUGCAGGGAAUCCGAAUGGCCCAUGCGCUGUCUGUCUUCAAGAAGUGACGGAGCAAGACAAAUUACUUUAACUCAAUGGGUGCUUUUUAACUUGAGAAACUCCUGGUGGCACAAGAUGAGCGUCUGGCACCACCGUCUCCUAUGCCAGGAUUUAAUAUUUGAACGACUGUAUUUGCCAAAGCACAUAAUACAUUUUGUCUAUCAAAUGUGUCCCACUAUAAAACUAACUGUCUCACAUACACGUGUACAAUGACUGGACAUCUGGAGUAUGUUGCAGUAUUGGGUCCUAUUUUGUGCCAUGUUGUGUGUUUGACCAAUUCAAUCUACUGAGAUAAUAAAUCAACCCCCACUUUUAUCUGAAA